rnacentral:lncRNA from 12 species
UUCUCCUGCUUCCGGCGCGGCGCUUAAAGGGGCAGGGGGCGCCUGUUAGGGGCGGGCGGCUCGGGCUGCGGGCGGCGGGGCUGCAGCGGUCGCCGCGGCCCUUCGGCAGUGAGCGAGCGAGCGGCUGCGCCGAUCUUUGUUCUUGUUGAGACAAAGCCCCUGGACUUGGGUCCCCGGUUCGUGCAGUCGGAUUAUUCGCUCUCCAGCAUCUUGGGUCACUACACCAGAGUUCUAUAAAAAGUUGCCUGUGAAAUUAAAACAACAACAACAACAACACAUGGAAUCCACUGCAUAGGUUCAAAAAAUAAGAGGAGCUGGUUUGUAACGGAAUGCUGUCUUCAUGCGCGCUCAGCCAUCGAGGCACAGAAUAAGCUGCGUCCGCAGCAGAUUUCUACGAUUAAAACGGUGGAUUGAGUGUUCAGGCCAGCAGGCAGUCCUUGUUUCAUGCAAUGGAGUGGACACAGUCCCCUGAUUUGCAGCUUUGAUCAGUCUACCCCAUGGGACUACCAGUAUUGGCCAGAAUCCUAUGUGACAGGUCCUUCUCUCAGCCCCUUCUGAAUUUACUUGCCUCCCGUGAGCUGCUACUUUUUCAAGACUCAGUAAGAAGACACGUUCAUGCAACCCUCUGGCUGCUGAAUACUUACCAAGCCUGCAUUUCCUGUUCUUCCCAUCCCCAAUUAAAUACUUAUUCUUUGAACUACAUUUCUCAAUUAUUUUCCAGUCAAGGUGUAAAUGAGAGCUAAAUAUCACUACAUUUUAUUUUCGGGAAAAAAAGUUAAACCAUAUUACAUCAGUGUAAAGAACAUAAAUCAUAUGAAAUCUAAGUAUCCUAACAAAGUGGCACCUCUUCCUAAUAACCAGAGAUAUUUACAUCACUCUGAUAUCCUUGAACUAAUAUUUCUAAUUUAAUUCUCCCAUAACAUUUUUUUAAAGAUUUAUUUAUUUAUUUUGGAGACAGAGAGUGAGCCAGGGGAGGGUCAAAGGGAGAAAGAGAAUCUCAAGCAGACUCCCUAUUGAGCUUGGAGCCCAAUGUGGGACCCUGAGAUCAGGAGCUAAGCCAAAACCAAGAGUCAGUGGCUCAGCUGACUGAGCCACCCAGUGCCCCAUCCCAUGUGGUUUUAUCUUAAUGUAAAACUUUAAAAUAUAGAUAUAUUUCAUUUAUUUACUUGGGAGGGAGAGAGCAUGAGUGGGGAGGGGAGCAGAGGGAGAGAGAGAAGCAGACUCCCCGCUGAGCAGAGAGCCUGAUGCGAGGCUCAAUCCCAGGACCCCGGGAUUAUGACACGAGCCAAAGACAGACGCUCAACCAAUUGAACCACGCAGGCACCCCUGUAUAACUUUUAUACCUAAAAAUCUUUGAUUACUCACUUGUCAUACUCAGUAAAAAAAAAAAAAAAAAAUUAUAUAUAUAUAUAUAAUAUCCUGGGUUAAUUAAUGUUCUAAAUAUGAAAAUACUCUGUCAGUUUAAUUAUUAGUAGUAUGAAAUUUAUCAAUAUAACAAAUGCAUAAUUCUUUUUUUUUAACAUUUUAUAUAUUUAUUUAUUUGAGAGAGAGACAGAGAGAGAGAGCACAAAAGGGGAGGCAGUGGGGGGGGAGGGGCAGAGGGAGAAGCAGACUCCCUGCCAAGCGCUGAGCCUGACUGGGAUCCUAUCCCAGACCCUGAGACCAUGACCUGAGCCAAAGUCAGAUGCUCAACUGACUGAACCACCCAGGCACCCCAACAAAUUUGUAAUUCUUAAACAAAAA